UACGUAGGCAGCGAGCGUUGUUCGGAUUUAUUGGGCGUAAAGGGUGCGCAGGCUGUAUGGUAAGUUUGGUGUGAAAUCCUGGAGCUUAACUCCAGAAUUGCACUGAAUACUGCCGUGCUAGAGGACUGGAGAGGAGAUUGGAAUUCACGGUGUAGCAGUGAAAUGCGUAGAUAUCGUGAGGAAGACCAGUGGCGAAGGCGAAUCUCUGGACAGUUCCUGACGCUCAUGCACGAAGGCCAGGGGAGCAAACGGG
rnacentral:rRNA from 1 species